UGUGCUGCCGAAGUGAGUACACUACUUCAUACAGCAAGCUGAAGGUAAGUCCAUCUGUCCUGGCACAGUUCUAUGGGGAAGCACAGGACAUGGCUAGAUCACAAAUGGCCAAGAUAACAGGAUUCUUUUUUCUUAACUGUAAACGGUUUUCAUGGCCAUUUCUAUGUGCCUCACCUUUGUGCAGCACCAGUUUAUGUCUUAACACCAAAACCUUAAAACUUCCCGAAUCUUACCAUAAAACUGUCUGGUUGAGCCUUGAGAAUAAAAUGAGCUCCAGGCCAA